rnacentral:rRNA from 1 species
CCUACGGGAGACAGCAGUGGGGGAUAUUGCACAAUGGGGGGAACCCUGAUGCAGCAACGCCGCGUGGGUGAAGAAGUACUUCGGCACGUAAAGCCCUGUCAGCAGGGAAGAAGGUGAACGGAACUGACCAACAAAGCCCCGCCAAACUCGGGCCAGCAGCCGCGGGUAUACGGAGGGGGCAAGCGUUAUCCGGAUUUACUGGGUGUAAAGGGAGCGUAGACGGCAAGGCAAGGCUGGAGUGAAAGCCCGGGGCCCAACCACGGGACUGCUUUUGAAACUGUGUUGCUGGAGUGCAGGAGGGGCAAGCGGAAUUCCUGGUGUAGCGGUGAAAUGCGUAGAUAUUAGGAGGAACACCGGUGGCGAAGGCGGCUUACUGGACUGUAACUGACGUUGAGGCUCGAAAGCGUGGGGAGCAAACAGGAUUAGAUACCCCAGUAGUC